rnacentral:lncRNA from 1 species
GCCCCGCCGUGGCCAGCCGCGCCUGUUUGGAGCCCCGUGGCCAGCGGCCGGCAGCUGGGGCCGAGUAUUGUCCUAAAGGACGAAAAAGGCAUUGAAGCGGGUUGGGGAGGGCAGCCACGUGCACGCAGGAGGAUUUAUAACAUUCCUUUUGGCCACUGACAAUAUUGCAAAAUGUGUGAAAGAGACGGCUCAGCCAGAACAGGAGCGUGAGGGCGAGGGCAAAGGUAAGCAGCCCCGGCUGGCUUCGCCCGGGAUGUGGGGCACCCGGAGAAAAUCGGGGGCAUCAUCCCCCAAUGGGCAGCAGUCGCGGCGUCUCAGUCCCCUGAAGGGUCUCGUGAGCGCUGAGCGGUGUAGACGCGGCCCCUGAGCUGAGGCAUCUCCGGUGACCCGGGGAUGGCCGAGGCGGUGUAGACGCGGUCCGUAAGCUGAAGCGUCUUCAGCGACCUGAUGGUUGUCAAGGCGGUGUAGACGAGCGGAGGCCGUGCAGCUGAGGCGCCUCCAAAAUCUGGAGGUGGUUAAGACUGUUCCCCAAGGCUGAGGCUGGCCGUCCCGCUAACUCGCGGCUGGCGAGUCUGGGCAGACGCGGACCUCUGUGUGGCUGAGGCACGCUGCAGCGACCUGGGGGCAGAUGAGGCAGUGCAGUCGCGCGCCUGAGGUUGAGGCGUCUCAGAACGGCAAGCAGGUGUAGACGCCCGCGGGUCCCAGGCGCAGAAAGUUUGCGGGAGUGCGUCGAGCCGCAGGCAGGGCUGGGCGCGCUCGGAACUGCCCAGCAGGCCCGGCUCCCCGCCGGGGGCCGACGGAGCUCUCCGGUCGCUCUCAACCGCCCUCCCUGGGCGGGGCGCCUUGGGUGAAUCCCCAAGCCCCAGAUUCCACCGCUGGAAUUCACGUGCCGCGGAGUGGGAGGAGUUGGCUGUGAAGAGUCCCAGAGCAGGACCAGAGGGGAUUCACUUAGAGUCCUUUGAACCGGUUCACUCAACUCCUGCUCCAUCCCACAGGACUGGCUGGGCGCCUGAGGUGUCUGCGUCGCACGUGUGGGAAAUCAGAGGCAGAUGAGCCAACUUGGUGUCCCCAUCACACGCUGGAAAUCAGAGGGCUCUACCAUCUCCUUUCACCCAGCCUCAGUCAGGAGAAAGGGGGCCAGGCAUGAGUGUGUGCAGGUGGACCUAGGGGUGGGGGGCGUGGAGGCCCUGGCUUGGGACCUCUGGAUCUGCUUCUUACUGCCACUGUGACUAGGUGGCGGCACAUCCAGGGAAUGAAUGGAGGAGGAAAGGUAGCCAAGAGAGUGCUGGGGAGGGGAUGCUGGUGCCCACCUGCUUUGUCCCCAGGGUACUCUGCAGGGAGGAUAUUAUGUGACACUCUCCCAUAGGGGAAGGAAACACUGUACCCCGUUUUUGCUGCAGGGAAGGGCAGAAAGGAGCUCCUUGGCAGGUACCUGCAUAUCUAGGAGACACCUACAACAACAUGUCCCUCUCCUGGAGGGGACCAGUCUCAUCUCCCCUCCCCCUCUGUGCCCUUUGCCCCCAUUCCUUCUCCUCUGUGACUCCUUUUACCACAAGGCUUUUGUAUGUGUUUAUUCUUUUGAUGGACAAAUAUGUACUGUGAAACAGGUGUGGUGGCUCACUCCUGUGGACCCAGCUACUGGGGAUGCCAAGUUAUAGGUCACUCUGGCAAUUUAGCAAGAUUCUGUCUCAAAAUAAAAAAUAACAAGGGCUGGGGCUGUAGCUCAGUGGUAAAUUGUCCCUGAGUUCAAUCCCCAGUUAAAAAAAAAAAAAAUUAGAAACACCUACUAUGUGCAAGGCACUGGCAACACAGCAGUGAAUAAGAUGGACCAUGUCUCUUGCCUCACAGGACUUCAGCCCAGGGCAGGGACAUGGAUGAUGGACAACACACAGUGAAGAAGGGAACAAGAGCUGGGGAGGAGGGCAGCCUUGGGUGGAUGUCCGUCAGAGAAGGGAAGACAGGAAUAGAGGUGUUAAUGCUCCUCAUUCUGUGGACUUAGGGCCAGUGUCACCUGCUCCAAGAAGCCUUCCCGUCCUCUCUGGCUUGACACUUCCACUCUAAUGGGCCCCUAUAGCCUGGGGACCACUCCCUCUGUGGACGCUGUUGUGUCCUUACUUGGUAAUGUUCAUCUGCCAUCAGUUGUAAGUGCCACGAGGUCAGGAGCCAGUUCUCUUCUGGGUGUAUGGGAGGCAAAGGGCGUUAAGGAUGAAUAGGUUUUCCCCAGAAAAACAGGAGCUGCUCAGCCGGGCCAGGUGUCCAGAUGGCAGAAACUUUUCUUUCCCCUUCUCUGGCCCCAGGCCUGGGCUCCACACCCCAUUUGUGGUUCAUAGAAACACGUGAAAGAGAUCAGCAGGCCUGGUCUGACUGCUGUGGGGAGAGUGGCCUGGUGGGACAAGGCCCAGAGGUGGCUCCUGUGCUGCCUUUGGGCUCAGGCUGGCCUACCCCGGUCCUUCUGUUCCAGCUCUCGGAGGCUGUUGCCUUCUAUCACUGCUCUGGGAGACGGUGGUGCUAGUGGGAGCCCUCCAGAUGGCCACAGUACAGGGCCACAGGGAUGGCCUCGCCCCCCCCCCCCCCAUCCUGGGCAGGCACCACCCCAGGCAACACCUCCCUGCACUGGAGCCAGAUCUCUGGGUCCCAAGUAAGUGCUCAGGAGACCCACAGCUCAUUGGAACUCGGAGCUGGAAGGUAGGAAUCAGCACAGAGGGACUGACUCUUAUUUUUAUUUUUUCACGUUUUCUGUACACUCUGAACGUCUCCCUCCCCUGGCUCCAGCAGACCUGUGCGCCUGGCACCUUUCCUGUGGCAGAUUAUGCUCUCGCAGAUGCCCGACAAAGCUUUUAUCACGUCCCCCCUCCACCCCGCCCCGCUUCAGGGGAUUGAGCUGCCGCCACGCACGGCUAGAGAGACGUCUCCAUGCUUUAUCCAGGCUCUGGCAGGGACAGAAUAAAAGCAGCCUCCCCACCCACCCACCCGGCCAGCCAGCCCUCCUGCCUGGAAUGGCUUUAAAAAAAUUAAUUUGCAAUGAUUUACUCCCUUCUGUUCUGUGGGGAUCACCAGCAUUUUAAAUAUGUAUUUAAAUCAGAUUCACUGCUCCCAGUUAAAUCUUGACUGCCUCCCCCCUCCCAGCAGAAAAAGCACUGGAUUCAGAAUCAGGUGACACAGAAGUUCAGGCCAAGUUCUGCUGAUGAUAAGCUGCGUGACCUUGGGCACAUGACUUAACCUCUCUCCACCUCCUCUGGACACUGGGGUUAAUGGUAAUCCCUUCCUCGUAGGGUGCUUUGAGGAUUAAAUUAGAUAACGUUCAGGGAAGAGCCGUGCAGUGCCAGGCCUGUGUCUUCUGUUCCCCAGUCCUGGCUGUCCAGCUAAUUAGCCUGGUGACCUUGGGCGGGCCGUUCUGCCAUGCUGGGCCUCGAUUUCCUCAUCUGUAAAACACAGGGGUUGUUGAAGGAGGCCCCCACCCUUAGUCUUGAGCCCCCACUCACCUCUCCUGCCCUCUGCCAGAUGCCAUCCCCUGGUCCCCUUGGCCACUCUUUUUUCCUGGGUUUUAAUUGGAGCGCUCCCCUCCCCAGCUGCCUCCCAGGCUCCCUGUGAAGUCGCAGGGUUAUGGCCCUGAGGGGCCUGGAGUUCCUGGCUCAUUUUCAGGGGCAAUUAGCUGUGAUGUCACAGGUCUAGGAGGUGGCCCCAGUAGGGCGCGUGGCUAGGCCACCAGGAGGCCAGCACCCUGCCUGUCUGUGGCUUACAGGGCUCCCCCAAGCCUAGGGAGGGGUCCUGUUGCCAGCUGUGGGGAGGGGCUUCCCCGGCAAAGCCAUUUCCAUUCCUGUACUUUAUGAGUCCUCGAGCCGAGUGUAAAUUAGUGCUACUCUGUGCUUUUGUUGGCAACUGCCGGUGCCUUGGAAGCGAGGGGCUUUGUCAGGAAGAACAAAGCUGCUCCGUGCUGCUCUGAUUUGGGGGAGGCGGGCUCCUGGGGGAGGCUCCUGGUUCCUCCGUGCCGGUCUGCGCCCUUGUUCUCAGACCCGCCGUUGUGUGUGGGGUUUUAAGUCCUGUGGCUCAGGAGCCGCAUGUGUUUGUGUGUGUGUGUGUGUUGGCUGGGGAUGUUUCCCUCCUUUUUGGCUCGCAGAGAGGAUUCUGUGGCAGCCGAUUCCAAGGACUGAACUUUUCAAAUCACUGCUUCAACGGCUUUUAAAAAUCUGGACCUAGUUACUCCUGUCAUCCAUGUGUAAAGAUUUAGGAAAAAAAAUUCCAGACCCGAGGGUGGGCAGCCGAGGGUGUCCAGCUCCUGGCGGUGCUCGCUGCAGCCCCGAGGUCAAAGCCGCCGAAAUGCCGAGCGCCUCCUGGGAGCGGGGCACGGUCUGCUCCGCGCCCGACAUCUGGAUAUGGAGAAAACAUCUGGGUGGCUGGGCUUUUCAGGUUUCUGCCUGACAUUUAAUAUUACAAACACUGCGCCUGCCUACCCCCCCCCCCCCCCCCCCCCCCCCCCCCCCCCCCCCCCCCCCCCCCCCCCCCCCCCCCCCCCCCCCCCGCCGGCCACCAGGCUUCUCCUCCCAAACACACCCAGCCCCUUCCCCCGCCUCCUGACGGGGAAGAAACAUCCAUUCUUUCCAAUUCCCCAGCGUUUUCCCCCUGCCGGAAAUCUGAUGGGCUUAUGACAUCAUGGCUGGCUUCUGAGCGAUGAAGUGGAUGCUACAAAGAAGCCGACAUAUCAGAUGGAUUUGGAAAUCCCUUCCCCUUGGGCCGGAGGGGCGGGCGCGAAGUCGGGAAUGAGAGCUUUGUCUAAGAAAAUUUAAAAAACAAAAACAAAAACGAAGUCUUUCUCCGUAUGCUAGACAGUUUGCUUAAAAACAAGCAAACUGUGUGGACAUCAUCCUGUCUUAAUAGAAAUGCUGGGUUUUAUGAAACAAAAGUGGCUAAGAAAUUGGACCCAGAGCUCCCCAAGAAUGUCACGUUUCUGUUGACAGUGUGUGUCCUCACUCAUCAGAAAGGGGGACUGGGAGUGGUUUCUCUCUCUUCAUUAUUCAAAUGAGAUAGCUUUUUUUUUUUUUUAAGGCCAAUAAAAUUCUCAGGGUAAAUUGCUGGUUUGUGUGUUUCCAGGAAUCCAUUUUUAUGGAGUGACCUUGGACCUGCUGGGGCUACAAACAUUGUAUUUCCCUCUGCUGGGUGUCCUGGCUGUGAAGCCCUCGAGACUUCUCCUGGUGGGGCUUGAGGGGAGACAGUGUGUCCACAGGGCAGGGACAGGGACCUGUAGGCCAGGGUACUUCUUGAGAUGAAAAAUCUUUGAAAGGAGAGUCAAGAGGGGAUGAAGUAGAGGGACUUCAAGCCCCGGGGCAGCGUAGGAAGGUGAUUCGUUGUGUCCCCCUUCAACAGGGAGGGAAAAGCCCUCACCGUGCAGCAGGCCCAGGUGUAGGGAAGCUCAGCCGACUCUGUGUUGGGCGUUUGGAGUCCAGCUUUUCUGUGGACCCGCCGCAGGCCCCUGGGCAAGUCACCCCACCUCUGUUUCUCUCUCUACAGGCAGGCACAAGACCCCGCGGCCUGCUGAGAGAACCCGUGCUGCUGCGCCUGGCAGGACACCGGGGUCCGGCCACUGUCAGCGGGCCGACCUUGGUCCCAGAGCCGGGAGAGGCCUGUGUGCAUUCUGGAGUCGAGUCCGCUGCCUGGCGUUGCAUCCUGGCUCUGCCACCUGCUAUCUGCAUGACGCCAUUGAUCUUUGUGACAGUCUCUGUGCCUUGGUUUCCUCAUUUGUCAAACCACAGUAAUGAUAGUCCCGUGCUCACACACGGGCUGCUGAGGGGAUUAAUGGCUUCAGAAGGCCUGGGAUAUAGCGGGUGUGCACCAAGUGUUUGCUGUCAUGACAUGGUCCCCGCGUGGGACCAGGCUGGGAGGGGGCCUGUCGAGCUGAGCACGGGAAGAGGAUAAUCAAGGACUGUGGGACCGUCCCUUCAAUUCUCCACACAGAACUCUCCAUGGCUCCACAUUGCCCAAAGGGAGCCAAGUCCCCCCACUCGGCUGAACGUCGUGUGCCUGGUGCUGGCUCCCACAGGCUGUUGUCGCCUCUCUGUGCUGCAUCCAUCCUCCCCAGCUGCUGGGCACACCACUGUCUUUGGCUACGAUACUAGUGGGUAGUUCACACUGACUGCCACCUGCCACCCUUUGUUCUGUGGCCUUGAUGCAGAUGAAUGCAUUGGAUUCUCACACCCACCGUGAAAGGAGGGCGGUCAUUCCUGCUCCGAGGUGAGGUGUGUUGCCAAAGCCCCAGAGCCCUGACUGGACGAGGCGGGGCUCAUGCCCCCCGACCUGGCUGCUCCUGUUCCCGCCUUGCCCCGAAACUGGGGCACCUGCCUUCCCAUGAUGCCCAUCUCUCAGCCAAGGCUUCGCGGCACUGGACAAGGGGGCUUCCCUGCUCUUCUCCCAUGGUGGCUUGUCCACUUCUCCCGGAGCCAGGAUCUGGGAUGUGGCCAGUUCUUGUACCCCACGAGGCCCUGCAGGCCAUGUCAGGUGGCGUGGACCGCGGAGACAUGGGAACUCGUAGGGGGUGCCGCCCCAGUGUGGACUUUUCUUCCAAACUCCAGGCCCGUCCAGGCAACGCCUUGGGCUACAUUUCCGCUCAGGUGGUCAUCCAGAGGCUCCACCUCAGCCGGUCACCCACUGCGCUGGUGAAGUCAGUCCUGGGCCUGCGCACCUGGCCUCCCCUCACCUCCUCUGCUCAGGCCCAGAGCCUCCAGGGCCUCCUUGGUCUCCCUGUCUCCCUGUGCCUUUAGUCCAUUGGCAGAUCCCAUCGGUUUAGCGUUCAAACUGCAUCAGCACCAGGACCCUUCUCCCACACCCACUGCCACCACCUGCACGGCUGGCCUCCUCCCGGGUCUCCCUCCUUCCUUCUGACCCACUCGGAGCCCAUUCUUCAGCGAUCUCCUUGGAACUGAGGUCACAUCCUGGGCUCCUCCGCCCGAACCCUGCCCCCUGCCGUGGCUCCCAGCUCAUUCAGGGUCAGAGUGCUCCUGAGGGUGGAUAAGGCUCCUCCCCUUUCUGACCUCCUUCCCCCCUCCCACCAGGACACGUGUCACCGUGGUACCUGGCCUCAGGAUGUGCACCUGCUGUUCCCUCUGCCCAGGGCACCCUUCCCUCUGGUUGGCAUCACUCUCUCCUCUACUUCUGUUGGAGCUCUCAUCAAAGGUCACCUGCGCAGAGAGACCUUCCCUUACCAUCCUGCCAGGUCAUUGUCCCACUCCACUGCUCUCGUGGCACUUCCUGCCAUCAACCUCCAACGGUACACCUUUUUACUGGAAGGUGAACUUCAUUUGAGCAGGCUCUGCCUGUCUUCCGCUCCCAGCCGAGGGCACAUGCUCCACUAAGGGUGUGGGGUGGGGGGGUGAAGGCACGUGCAGGGGGACAGGUAUUGAGUGGCUGGUCUGUGCCGGUUUCUGUGCUGGAUUCUGAGCAAGACCCCUUGCCCCGUCUACAGAGCCCUCGCCCGGGGGCAGGGGAGGAAACUGACUCUGAGCAAAAAAUCCCAAGCAGAUGGCAUGGGUGGUGUCCAGGAGCGGGCUUGGAGGCCGAAGUGGUCCCGCCCAUUGGAGGGGGCUCCCUGAAGACGGGGGUCUACAUGAGCUGGCCUCAAGGAGAAGAGAAGUUGGAUGGUGCUGAGGGUCUGGUGGACAGCAAGCUCUGGGGGCUCCCUGCUUAGACAGGGCCUUAGAGCUCAAAAGACCCAUGGGGGGUGGAGACGGGCCCGUGUGUAGGUUGGGGUUUGGUGUGAGCAGAGGCCCCAGGAGGGGAGGUGCAGGGCGAGUGCCUGGGGACAGAUUGAGGAACGACUUAGGUGUGUGUGGAGAGGUGUGAGGAGGAGAAGUGGAGCCAGGCUUGGCAGCGCAUGUGUGUAAUCCCAGAGAGUGGGGAGGCUGAGGCAGGAGGAUCCAAAGUUCAAGACCAGCCUCAGCAACUUAGUGAGACCCUGAGCCACUUAGCUAGAUCCUGUCUCAAACCUAAAAAUAAAAAGUGUUGGGACUGUGGCCCUGUGGCGGGGCAGCCCUGGGCUGCAGCGAGGCUCUCCUCCCCCAGCCACGGGAUCCUGGAUGCUUCACCCACUUCUGGGGCUCAGUGUCCCCAGAGAGGAGCUCUGGAUGCUCCCUGCAGUCCCGGCAGUGGACUCUUGGCAGUCCCCUUGCGGCUGUGCUGUCCUGCUCCGGAGAGGCGGAGACUCAUGCUUGGAGGAGCCGAGGGUAGAGUGGCAUCUCCAGGAGGAGCAGGAAGUGGGGAGCAGAAUGUGCCGGCGGGUGCCUUCCCCCAGGCUGCGUUCCUCCGGUCCCUCCUUCAGUGAGCGGGGAGGACAGUGGUGAGGGUGGGCCGGCUGUCCCCAGCAGGGCCUCCGUCAGGGGCCUGCUGGGCUCUGCAUGAUGGGCCACCCAACUUUGGCCUCACCCUCUGCUGAGCACCACAGACCUGACAGAGCAGGCCGAGAAGCCGAGCCUCCGAGCACAGAGGUGACCCACAGCUGCUGUCACCACAGAGCUGAUAAAUGGCAGAUGAGAGACCUGAACCUGUCCGGCCCCAAGCCCUGCGGUCCUCUAGCAAGACUGAGCCACAUCCUUUGGGUGGCCUGGUGAGCUCAUGCCGGCUGGGAGAGCCAGGCCCCUGCCUGUGACAGGCUCACCACGCCGCCCUGGGGGAGCCGCCCUCCACGCGGCCACCCCUCCUUUGGGGAAGGUGAGUCAGGUCUCUGGAAAGCCCUGGAGCCUCUCCCCUAGGCGGGGGCUUCUCUGAAGACUCCAGAUGCUUCUGGGAUGAAUGUUCUGGGCUCCUGAAAGCCACAAAGCCACCCCCUUGCAGCAGGGGGUCCCUGUUUUACAGCUCGGGAAGCUGAGGCUCGGAGAACAGUAACCCGAGGGAGGAACACCAGCCACCGGGAGGUCCAUCUUUGUUCAGCUGGGGACGUCCUCCUGGGGCCAACUGCUGUGUUCACUGUCUGGGGGACAGAGGGGUGGGCUCCAUGCGCAGCCUCAGGCCUGUGGGAGAGUGUCGGGGGCCAGCCUCAGCCCACACUACAAAAAACUUUUCAGCAGGUCUGUGGGGAGAGGGUCUUGGUGGGCGUGAGCUGUCAGUCACCAGUGGAGUUCAAGCAACCCCUGCCUGUGAGAGGCAGGAGAUUAAAGCCACAGGGCAGUUAUGCUGAGCCGUCCAGGUUUCUGUGACUCUCCAAGCCUCAGUUUUCGUAUCUGUGGGAUGGGGCUAUUAAUUCCCAGCUGUCACAAUCUCCAGGAGUCAACGAGGACUGGAAGGCAUCCUACUUUUUUUCUGACCCCCAGAAAGGUGCCUCUGAGCUGCUCUGUAAUGGCCAGAGGACAGAGUCCCUGUGGAGCAGCCCCUGUCACAAGCCCCAGCUUCUUCCUUGACGGUAGAGAUGGGGUGUCCAGGCCUCGGGUACGUUGGUCCCUCGCAUCUGUCUCCCAGGCUCACCUGUCACCUGGGCUGGGCCAUGGCUGGCACUUUGAGUAACUGGAGCUUCCACGUGAGUUUUGCAAAAGCAGGGCUGUGCACGGAGACGUGGGCCUCCUCGGAUCUUGGCCUCCAGGAGAGGCAGGGCUCACAGAAAUGCCCCACCAGGUGGAGGCCGAGCCCGCUGCCCCUCAGAACUUCCUGACUAGGAGAUGGACCUAGAGAGGUCCAUUUUGCAACCAGGACCCAGAGAGCAGGUGCAGACAGCUGCUUCUGUGGGCACCUACUCUGCCCCAGGGGCUUUCCUUACACAUAAUUGAAUAAAUUUUUU